CCUACGGGAGGCAGCAGUGGGGAAUAUUGCACAAUGGGGGAAACCCUGAUGCAGCGACGCCGCGUGAAUGAAGAAGUAUUUCGGUAUGUAAACUUCUAUCAGCAGGGAAGAAAAUGACGGUACCUGAAUAAGAAGCCCCGGCUAACUACGUGCCAGCAGCCGCGGUAAUACGUAGGGGGCAAGCGUUAUCCGGAUUUACUGGGUGUAAAGGGAGCGUAGGCGGUAGAGCAAGUCAGAAGUGAAAGGCCGGGGCUUAACCCCGGGACUGCUUUUGAAACUGUUGAACUAGAGUGCAGGCGAGGGAAGUGGAAUUCCUAGUGUAGCGGUGAAAUGCGUAGAUAUUAGGAGGAACACCAGUGGCGAAGGCGGCUUACUGGACUGUAAAUGACGCUGAGGCUCGAAAGCGUGGGGAGCAAACAGGAGUAGAUACCCCUGUAGUC
rnacentral:rRNA from 1 species